GAUAGCGUCAUCGGCGAUGGUUCGCUCGUUAAAGGGCGAUGAAAAGGGAAGCCGGUGCGGAGAGAUCUCAAACCGGCGCUGCCCCCGCAACUGUAAGCGGUGAGUCCAACGCCAUAGCCACUGGGAGUCCUGCGUGGGACACUCCUGGGAAGGCGGCAAGUGGGCCGUGACCCGUAAGCCAGGAGACCUGCCAUCAUCACCAGUGCUUU
rnacentral:ncRNA from 2 species